rnacentral:rRNA from 1 species
AUACGGAGGGGGCUAGCGUUGUUCGGAAUUACUGGGCGUAAAGCGUACGUAGGCGGACUGAUCAGUUGGGGGUGAAAUCCCAGGGCUUAACCCUGGAACUGCCUUCAAUACUGUCAGUCUUGAGAUUGGAAGAGGUGAGUGGAAUUCCUAGUGUAGAGGUGAAAUUCAUAGAUAUUAGGAGGAACACCAGUGGCGAAGGCGGCUCACUGGUCCAAUACUGACGCUGAGGUACGAAAGCGUGGGUAGCAAACGGGAUUAGAAACCCUAGUAGUCC